rnacentral:rRNA from 1 species
AUUGAACGCUGGCGGCAGGCUUAACACAUGCAAGUCGAGCGGAGAUGAGGUGCUUGCACCUUAUCUUAGCGGCGGACGGGUGAGUAAUGCUUAGGAAUCUGCCUAUUAGUGGGGGACAACAUUCCGAAAGGAAUGCUAAUACCGCAUACGCCCUACGGGGGAAAGCAGGGGAUCUUCGGACCUUGCGCUAAUAGAUGAGCCUAAGUCGGAUUAGCUCGUUGGUGGGGUAAAGGCCUACCAAGGCGACGAUCUGUAGCGGGUCUGAGAGGAUGGUCCGCCACACUGGGACUGAGACACGGCCCAGACUCCUACGGGAGGCAGCAGUGGGGAAUAUUGGACAAUGGGCGGAAGCCUGAUCCAGCCAUGCCGCGUGUGUGAAGAAGGCCUUUUGGUUGUAAAGCACUUUAAGCGAGGAGGAGGCUACCUGGAUUAAUACUCUAGGAUAGUGGACGUUACUCGCAGAAUAAGCACCGGCUAACUCUGUGCCAGCCGCCGCGGUAAUAC